AUUGGUGUGGGGAGCACAAAAUGAUUCCAUAUAUUUGCACCACACUUUCCAUUUUCAUAUUCACGGCUUCAUACCAUCUCUUUCUCUUUUUCUAGUUUUUCAUUUCCCCCCAAAUUCACUCCAUUAACCUACUAUUCCACCACCAAACUCAGAUUUUUUAUCAAAAAAUCUUCAACAAACUUGUUUUUUGAAAGAUAAUUUUAUAACUUUUUCUUUUUUUUCUUUCUUUUUUUUCGUCUAAUUUUUUAUCCAAUGUAUAUAUUUCUUCUCUAUUUUUUUAAAAUAUGAAUAUUUAUUGUUAUUUAUUGAUAUUUGUUGACUAUUAGUUGAU
rnacentral:lncRNA from 1 species